UCCAACGGAUGGCACACAAUCCCUAAUUCCCUACCUCUCUCUUCUCUCCCCUACCCCCGCAGCCGCCGGCUUCUCUUCCGCCCAGAUCCCUCCUCCCGUGCCUCCUUCCUCCCAUCUCAUUCUCCAAUCUUCGACUUCCCUGCCCAGUCGAGGAGCUCGGAGGCCGCACCGUGGCAAGCACCACCGGCGCGACGUCCAGGCCGCCCCACACCGUCCGAGCGUUCCGUGUGCGGCUGGAUCUGGCGUCUAACUGCCGGAUCCACCGCGGAUAGCAACACCGGCUGCUACCUCCUCUCCGACUCCGACCACCACACCACCUCUACUCCAUCCAGCCGUCCCGUCCACUGCCAGAACCAGCAAUCUCGCUGUCGGAUUGGUGGCGGUGGUUCCUCAUGGUUCAGUCUCCUCCCGAUGACGCGCCGGGGGCUGGUUCCAGGCGGACAUCAGCCGGCCCACGGUUAGCGCUCUCAUCUCACGCCCGUCUUCCCCAUCGAUGGACAACACCGACACUGCUAGGUAUGGUGACCGCAACCAGGGCGACGGGCCACUUCUUCGUCUCUAGCUCCGGUUCAGUGGGGUUAUACUCAUGCUCAUGCUACUGAACAAUUGUCCUAGCAUGUUACUUGGAGUUUGGGCAUGGUACUGUGGUGAUUUGCAGCUGUGCAGGAUCAUUUGCUGCCUGUACGAGAGUGUGAAUGACAUCAUCGACUUCUACCUCCUCCAUCUCAAGGACAAAUCUCUUGCAACCCAUGGUGCUGCAUUUGAAGUGUUCAUUUGUAUUUUGGUAGUGAUUAUUAUCUGUGCAAUGUAUGAUGUUUUGGAUUUCUUUUGUAAAUGUUGGCAAUGUGGUUUUAGUGUUGUACCAGCGAUGGUUGUUGUAAUUGAAUGAAACAAUUUAAUAGAAAAUUGUGGGCUUGGCAAAAUUAUGUGUCCUGCUGAUGGAAAAUAACUGGAUGUGAAAAUUUGUAUUAUGUGUAAUGGGAUGUGCUAGC